rnacentral:rRNA from 1 species
CACGGGUGAGUAACGCGUAUCCAACCUGCCGUCUACUCUUGGACAGCCUUCUGAAAGGAAAGAUUAAUACAAGAUGGCAUCAUGAGUCCGCAUGUUCACAUGAUUAAAGGUAUUCCGGUAGACGAUGGGGAUGCGUUCCAUUAGAUAGUAGGCGGGGUAACGGCCCACCUAGUCUUCGAUGGAUAGGGGUUCUGAGAGGAAGGUCCCCCACAUUGGAACUGAGACACGGUCCAA